GAUGAACGCUGGCGGCGUGCCUAAUACAUGCAAGUCGAGCGAACAGACGAGGAGCUUGCUCCUCUGACGUUAGCGGCGGACGGGUGAGUAACACGUGGAUAACCUACCUAUAAGACUGGGAUAACUUCGGGAAACCGGAGCUAAUACCGGAUAAUAUAUUGAACCGCAUGGUUCAAUAGUGAAAGACGGUUUUGCUGUCACUUAUAGAUGGAUCCGCGCCGCAUUAGCUAGUUGGUAAGGUAACGGCUUACCAAGGCGACGAUGCGUAGCCGACCUGAGAGGGUGAUCGGCCACACUGGAACUGAGACACGGUCCCGACUCCUACGGGAGGCAGCAGUAGGGAAUCUUCCGCAAUGGGCGAAAGCUUGACGGAGCAACGCCGCGUGAGUGAUGAAGGUCUUCGGAUCGUAAAACUCUGUUAUUAGGGAAGAACAAAUGUGUAAGUAACUAUGCACGUCUUGACGGUACCUAAUCAGAAAGCCACGGCUAACUACGUG
rnacentral:rRNA from 1 species